GGAGGAGUUCGUUAAAAUACAAGGCAUGCAAAUGACAAAAAUGAUGCAAAAUUUGCUCAUAAAAUUAAAAAUAACCGACUUCCUGUUGGGUUUCGGAUAUUGCUCCAAGAGUCUUUUUUGUAGGUACUGAUGCUUUACAUAUGUGUGCCAAUUUUCGUGCAUGUACGUGAAACACAGCUCGAGGGCUGUUGAUUUUUUUACGAUAGGUGGCGCUGUCGAGCCAUUUUGCCACACCCUCUUCUGAAACCUAUAUCAGACGAAAAUUUUCACCAGGUCUGACGCGUGUGCAAAGUUUCAGGACUUUUCGAGCAUGUUUAGGCCCUCAAAAAUGCGAUUCAUUUUGGAGAAGAAGAAGAAGAAGAAGAAGAAGAAUAAUAAUAAUAAUAAACAAAGCAGAUACAAUAGGGUCCUCACACCAUCGGUGCUCGGGCCCUAAUUAAAGCUGCAAGCAGCGAUGAACGGGCCCUCGCACCCGGGCUCACCACCACCGGGUGGCUUUUGUAAAACAGCGAACGGCCAGAUAUAUGCAUUUAAUGUGGUAAAUAUAAUAGGAAUAUGUCAAAGUCAUAUAUAUGUGCCAGUCUUCCUGCUGCCAGCUGGUGGCGCUAUGACUAUAACUGGAUUUUGUCAUGAAGAUUUCUUCAGUCCAG
ensembl:lncRNA